rnacentral:rRNA from 1 species
AGUGAACGCUGGCGGUAGGCCUAACACAUGCAAGUCGAACGGCAGCACAGUAAGAGCUUGCUCUUACGGGUGGCGAGUGGCGGACGGGUGAGGAAUACAUCGGAAUCUACUUUUUCGUGGGGGAUAACGUAGGGAAACUCAUGCUAAUACCGCAUACGACCUACGGGUGAAAGCAGGGGAUCUUCGGACCUUGCGCGAUUGAAUGAGCCGAUGUCGGAUUAGCUAGUUGGCGGGGUAAAGGCCCACCAAGGCGACGAUCCGUAGCUGGUCUGAGAGGAUGAUCAGCCACACUGGAACUGAGAAAGGGCCCCGACACCUACGGGAGGCAGCAGUGGAGAAUAUUGGAGGAUGGACGAGAGCCGGAUACAGCCAUACCGCGUGAGGGAAGAAGGACUUAGGGUUGUAAAGCCCUUUUGUUGGGAGAGAAGAACAGCAGGUUAAUACCCCACUGUUAUGACGGUACCGAGAGAAUAAGCACCGGCUAACUUCGUG